rnacentral:rRNA from 1 species
CUGCAGCCCGAGUGGUGAUCGAUUUUAUUGAGCCUAAAGCGUCCGUAGCCGGACUAGUAAACCCUUGGGUAAAUUGGGCAGCUUAACUGUCCGAAUUCCGAGGGGACUGCUAGUCUUGGGACCGGGAGAGGUCAGAGGUACUCAAGGGGUAGGGGCUAAAUCCUGUAAUCCUUUGGGGACCACCAGUGGCGAAGGCGUCUGACUAGAACGGAUCCGACGGUGAGGGACGAAGCCCUGGGGCACAAACCGGAUUAGAUACCCGAGUAGUCC